rnacentral:misc_RNA from 1 species
ACACCUCAACUCUUCAUGGUCUGCCAUGAUGAGCUUGGACUUUGGGGGUCUUGCCGGCGUAACCGUCGGCUCCUCUCAAAUGAAUCAGCUUGCCAGUGUUUGGUGGCGUCACAGGUGUGAUAACUAUCUACGCUUGUGAUCUUCCAUCAGGUUACCUUCAGUAAUGGGGGUUCGCUGGAGCUCACAGACGUCUCUCCUCAGGGAGGACAGCUUUUUAAU